GAUUUGGUAGCUCAGCUGGUAGAGCAUCUCCCUUUUAAGGAGAGGGUCCUGGGUUCGAACCCCAGUCAAGUCA
rnacentral:tRNA from 1 species